rnacentral:tRNA from 1 species
GGGGAUGUAGCUCAGUGGUACAGCACCUGCCUGGCAAGCACAAGGCCCUGGGUUUGAUUCCUGGUACCCACA